AUUUAAGUAGCUUAAGUUUAAAGCAUAAUAUUGAAGAUAUUAAGAUAAAUUAGUUUCUUAAAUA
rnacentral:tRNA from 1 species